rnacentral:SRP_RNA from 1 species
GAGUGCUCCGUGAGGUUGGUUUCACCGAUGCCCUCUUGGCCCAGCAGGUGUCUGCUCUCUCUGGUGGUUGGAAGAUGCGUCUGGCUAUUGCUCGU